rnacentral:lncRNA from 1 species
UUUUUUUUUUUAUUUUAUUUAUUUUGGUUUUUCGAGACAGGGUUUCUCUGUAUAACCCUGGCUGUCCUGGAACUCACUUUGUAGACCAGGCUGGCCUCGAACUCAGAAAUCUGCCUGCCUCUGCCUCCCAAGUGCUGGGAUUAAAGGCGUGCACCACCACGCCUGGCUAAAAGAAAGUUUAAAUGAGCAUAAAUUAUAGUUGACUUGGAGUUUCACAGCCAAGAUAAAUAGACAAAACUAGCUUCUCUUACUGUUCAUUAGUUCAGAACCACGAUACAGUUGUAUCUCUCUGUAUGCAUGGAUAGUGGUACAAGAUGGGCCGGAAUCACCAGAGAAAGAAGUAGAGAGGAGAAAGCCCUUUCAUCACUACCCUUCAGAUCGUUUAAGAAUUUAUGUAACGUGGUAAAUAUUCUGAGCCUGGGUGCGUUUGAGACAGGUUCUCUUUAGCCCAGGUUUGUCUUGAACUUGAUAGACAUCGGAGAAUGGUCUUGAGUUCCUGGUCUUUGUGACUCUGAAAAGUACUGCUAUUCAUGUGCACCACCUCACCGAGCUUUCUGUUUAUAUUUAAGUCCCUUUUGCAUUGUUAUGACCUCUACAGUGGGGAGAUAGAUACUCUACUGAGGAUUUGUAUAUUGGGGAGAAAAGAAUGGACUGUCAGAAAGAUUGGAAGGACUUUUACACUUGAUUUCUGUGUAUCUGAAUUGUGUAUUUAUUUUAAAAAUGAGAAUGCUUUUAUAUUGCACUAUAGUCUAGGGAAUGUUUACACUCUGGAAUUUUAAGAUGGGUUUUAGGUAUUUAGUUUUGUAGCCAAAAUCACACCAGUUUUUGUUUGCAUUUUAAGACUAUUAUUUGUAACUUAUUAUGAAAUCUGUGUUGACCACAAACUAAGAGAUCUGCCUGCCUCUUUCUUGAUUGAAAUAUUACUUUAAAAAUAUCUUUUAGUUGUGUCAAUUUAUUGAGUAGAUUGACUACUUUUGGUAGCUUUAAGACCAUUUGUAGAAAGGUUGGCAGUUUGCUAAAUGUAAUUUAUUUAAAUGAUUGAUUGAUUGAUUUUUUUUUUUUUUUUUUUUUUUUUUGUUCAUUUGAGAUAGGGCUUUUCUGUUUCACUUUGUAGAUCUGGCUGUCCUCGAACUCAACAAGAUCCACGUGCCUCAGCCUCACGAGUGCUGGGUUUAAAGGUGUGUGCCACUACCUCCCAGCAUUUAUUGCAUUUUUCAGGCAGGGUCUCAUUAUUACCUAUGCUGGUCUCAACCAUGUAUUGAUUGUCCUGCCUCAGCCUACCAAGUGCUGGGUAUAGGUAUGAGCCAUUGUGCCUGGCAUGAGGGUACAAUUUGUGUAUCAGAUUUGAUAUGGGGAGGUCUUUUUCUUUUACCAUGGUUAGCUUUUAACUUCCUGAAUUAACUUUGUUUUCUAGUGGUUGGUUCAGCACGCGCACGGCCUAGUCAGCUUCCUGAGCAAUCGUCUUCUGCACAACAGAAUGGUAGCGUUUCAGAUAUAUCUCCAGUUCAAGCUGCAAAAAAGGAGUUUGGCCCUCCUUGUAUGUAAAUACUGUAUCAAGGACUCAGUCAUUUUAGGCAUACAUGUAGUCUCUCUUGGUCAGCCUUACAAGUUCCUAUGUAGUAAGCAAUCCAAUACAAACUUGGAUAAAGAUUGCAUUUUGCCAACAAAUUUUAAUUUGUGUUUAGUACUUUAGUCAGUUAAUUGGAGAUAUAUAACAUUUUGUGUAAGGUUAUAACAAUUGUUUUGAACUUAAAAUUCUGGCUAGGUUUUUUCUUUUUCUUUUUUUGUUUUUGUUUUGUUUUAUUUUUUGACUUUUAGAAGAAAAUUAUACUUCUUGAUCAUUUCAAUUCGAAGGUCUGUGAUCCUAAACCAAGAGAUGACAUGUAUCAGUGUGUUCGAGUCAUUUCUCUUGACUCAUCUGUUUAAUGUCCUGUUCUUGCUUUUGUUAAAGCAGCAGCAAUAAGUACAAUUCACCUAGGUGUUUGCCAUGCUUCAUCAUUGUGAACUGUGUGUGUGUGCGCGCGCGCGCAUGUGCGCUGCAAUUACUCAUGAAAUAUCUAUAUGUUGAGUGUAAUUAUAUAAAUAGAAAACUCUGCUUCAGCUCAUCUUUUUCCUUUUAGCACGUAGAAAAUCCAAUUGUGUGAAAGAAGUAGAAAAAUUGCAAGAAAAACGAGAAAAAAGGAGAUUGCAACAGC